rnacentral:rRNA from 1 species
GAUGAACGCUGGCGGCGUGCCUAAUACAUGCAAGUCGAGCGAACGGACGAGAAGCUUGCUUCUCUGAUGUUAGCGGCGGACGGGUGAGUAACACGUGGAUAACCUACCAAUAAGACUGGGAUAACUUCGGGAAACCGGAGCUAAUACCGGAUGAUAUUUUGAACCGCAUGGUUCAAAAGUGAAAGACGGUCUUGCUGUCACUUAUAGAUGGUUCCGCGCUGCAUUAGCUAGUUGGUAAGGUAACGGCUUACCAAGGCAACGAUGCAUAGCCGACCUGAGAGGGUGAUCGGCCACACUGGAACUGAGACACGGUCCAGACUCCUACGGGAGGCAGCAGUAGGGAAUCUUCCGCAAUGGGCGAAAGCCUGACGGAGCAACGCCGCGUGAGUGAUGAAGGUCUUCGGAUCGUAAAACUCUGUUAUUAGGGAAGAACAUAUGUGUAAGUAACUGUGCACAUCUUGACGGUACCUAAUCAGAAAGCCAUGGCUAACUACGUG